UCAACGACCGUACCGCAAACCGACACUGGUGCGCGAGAUGAGUAUUCUAAGGCGCUUGAGAGAACUCAGGAGAAGGAACUCGGCAAAUUGACACCGUAACUUCGGAAGAAGGUGUGCCCUAUUAGUGUGAAGUGAACAACGGAGCAUGAAUGGGUUGCAAAAAAUCGGUGGCUGCGACUGUUUAUUAAAAACACAGCACUCUGCAAACACGAAAGUGGACGUAUAGGGUGUGACGCCUGCCCGGUGCUGGAAGAUUAAAUGAUGGGGUGCAAGCUCUUGAUUGAAGUCCCAGUAAACGGCGGCCGUAACAAUAACGGUCCUAAGGUAGCGAAAUUCCUUGUCGGGUAAGUUCCGACCUGCACGAAUGGCGUAACGAUGGCCACACUGUCUCCUCCUGAGACUCAGCGAAGUUGAAAUGUUUGUGAUGAUGCAAUCUCCCCGCGGAAAGACGGAAAGACCCCAUGAACCUUUACUGUAGCUUUGUAUUGGACUUUGAACAGAUCUGUGUAGGAUAGGUGGGAGGCUUUGAAGCAGGGUCGCUAGAUCUUGUGGAGCCAACGUUGAAAUACCACCCUGGUGUGUUUGAGGUUCUAACCUAGGUCCAUUAUCUGGAUCGGGGACAGUGCAUGGUAGGCAGUUUGACUGGGGCGGUCUCCUCCCAAAGCGUAACGGAGGAGUUCGAAGGUACGCUAGUUACGGUCGGACAUCGUGACGAUAGUGCAAUGGCAUAAGCGUGCUUAACUGCGAGACUGACAAGUCGAGCAGAUGCGAAAGCAGGACAUAGUGAUCCGGUGGUUCUGUGUGGAAGGGCCAUCGCUCAACGGAUAAAAGGUACUCUGGGGAUAACAGGCUGAUACCGCCCAAGAGUUCAUAUCGACGGCGGUGUUUGGCACCUCGAUGUCGGCUCAUCUCAUCCUGGGGCUGUAGCCGGUCCCAAGGGUAUGGCUGUUCGCCAUUUAAAGAGGUACGUGAGCUGGGUUUAAAACGUCGUGAGACAGUUUGGUCCCUAUCUUCCGUGGGCGCUGCAGAUUUGAGGAAGCCUGCUCCUAGUACGAGAGGACCGGAGUGGACACACCUCUGGUGUAUCGGUUGUCACGCCAGUGGCAUUGCCGAGUAGCUAAGUGUGGAAGAGAUAACCGCUGAAAGCAUCUAAGCGGGAAACUCGUUUCAAGAUGAGAUCUGCCGGGGCCUUGAGCCCCCUGAAGAGUCGUUCAAGACCAGGACGUUGAUAGGUCAGGUGUGGAAGCGCAGUAAUGCGUUAAGCUAACUGAUACUAAUUGCUCGUGCGGCUUGACC
rnacentral:rRNA from 1 species